AAUGAACGUUGGCGGCGCGCCUAACACAUGCAAGUCGAACGAGAAAGCUCUUUCGGGAGUGAGUAAAGUGGCGGACGGUUGAGUAACACGUGAGAAUUUGCCCUUCAGUGAAGAAUAUCCUCGAGAAAUCGAGAUUAAUGCUGCAUACGUCCCUUCGGGGAGAAAAAUGGCCUCUUUGCUGUUGCUGAAGGAUAAGCUUGCGGGCUAUCAGCUAGUUGGUGAGGUAAUGGCUCACCAAGGCUAUGACGGCUAGCCGGCCUGAGAGGGUGAUCGGCCAGAUUGGAACUGAGAUACGGUCCAGACUCCUACGGGAGGCAGCAGUGAGGAGUCUUGCGCAAUGGACGAAAGUCUGACGCAGCGACGCCGCGUGGAGGAUGAAGGUCUUUGGAUUGUAAACUCCUGUUAAGUGGGAAGAAAUAUCCGUUCCUAAUACGAACGGAGGCUGACGGUACCACUAGAGAAAGCACCGGCUAACUUCGUGC
rnacentral:rRNA from 1 species